rnacentral:rRNA from 1 species
GACAGAGGAUGCAAGUGUUAUUCGGAAUGAUUGGGCGUAAAGAGUCUGUAGGCGGUUUAGAAAGUCUUUUGUGAAAUACUUCAGCUCAACUGAGGCUCCGCAAAAGAAACUUCUAGACUUGAGGAAAGUAGAGGUACAGGGAAUUUCCGGUGGAGCGGUGAAAUGCGUAGAUAUCGGAAGGAACACCAAUAUGGCGAAGGCACUGUACUGGGCUUUUCCUGACGCUAAGAGACGAAAGCUGAAGGAGUGAUUAGGAUUAGAUACCCUAGUAAUUUCAGCCGUAAACGAUGAAGACUCACUGUCGAGCCAAUAUAUGGAGCGGUGGUCAAGCUAACGCGUGAAGUUUUCCGCCUGGGGAUUACGCUUGCAAAAGUGAAACUCAAAGGAAUUGACGGGGACCCGCACAAGCGGUGGAGUAUGUGGUUUAAUUCGAUGCAACGCGAAAAACCUUACCAGGGUUUGAAAUAAUUUCAAAACUUCUUGAAAGAGAAGCCUCCUUCGGGAUGGAAUUACAGGUGGUGCAUGGCUGUCGUCAGCUCGUGUUGUGAAAUGUCAAGUUAAGUCUUGUAACGAGCGCAACCCAUGUCUCUUGUUGCUGUUUACAGUGCUUAAGAGAAACUGCCGAUCAACAUCGGAGGAAGGUGUGGAUGAUGUCAAGUCAGCAUGCCCCUUACAUCCUGGGCUACACACGUACUACAAUGGUCGAGACAAAGGGUCGCUAACCUGCAAAGGCAUGCCAAUCUCAUAAACUCGAUCUCAGUUCGGAUUGUACUCUGCAACUCGAGUACAUGAAGGUGGAAUCGCUAGUAAUCGCUGGUCAGCAUACAGCGGUGAAUACGUUCCCGGGUCU